AGAUUGAACGCUGGCGGCAUGCCUUACACAUGCAAGUCGAACGGCAGCACGGGAGCAAUCCUGGUGGCGAGUGGCGAACGGGUGAGUAAUACAUCGGAACGUGCCCAGUUGUGGGGGAUAGCCCGGCGAAAGCCGGAUUAAUACCGCAUACGACCUACGGGUGAAAGCGGGGGAUCGCAAGACCUCGCGCUAUUGGAGCGGCCGAUGUCGGAUUAGCUUGUUGGUAGGGUAAAAGCCUACCAAGGCUACGAUCCGUAGCUGGUCUGAGAGGACGACCAGCCACACUGGGACUGAGACACGGCCCAGACUCCUACGGGAGGCAGCAGGUGGGGAAUUUUGGACAAGUGGGCGCAAGCCUGAUCCAGCCAGUGCCGCGUGCCGGGAAGAAGGCCGUUCGGGUUGUAAACCGUCGUUUUGGUACGAGGGAAGUAAACGGUUACGAGACUAAUACCUUGAGACUAAGUGACGGUACCUAGAAG
rnacentral:rRNA from 1 species